rnacentral:rRNA from 1 species
GAUGAACGCUAGCGGCAGGCUUAACACAUGCAAGUCGAGGGGCAGCACGAUGUAGCAAUACAUGGGUGGCGACCGGCGCACGGGUGCGUAACACGUAUGGAAUCUGCCCUUUACUGGGGAAUAGCCCUCCGAAAGGAGGAUUAAUGCCCCAUAACAAGUCAAGUGGCAUCACUUGGCUUUGAAAGCUCCGGCGGUAAAGGAUGACCAUGCGCACGAUUAGCUAGUUGGUGAGGUAACGGCUCACCAAGGCUACGAUCGUUAGGGGGCCUGAGAGGGUUAUCCCCCACACUGGUACUGAGACACGGACCAGACUCCUACGGGAGGCAGCAGUGAGGAAUAUUGCGCAAUGGAGGCAACUCUGACGCAGCCAUGCCGCGUGCAGGAAGAAGGCGCUACGCGUUGUAAACUGCUUUUAACCGGGAAGAAACCCCAGGACGUGUCCUGGGUUGACGGUACCGGAGGAAUAAGCACCGGCUAACUCUGUGCCAGCAGCCGCGGUAACAC